GAACGCGAAGAACCUUACCAAGUCUUGACAUCCUUUGACUACUCUAGAGAUAGAGCUUUCCCUUCGGGGACAAAGUGACAGGUGGUGCAUGGUUGUCGUCAGCUCGUGUCGUGAGAUGUUGGGUUAAGUCCCGCAACGAGCGCAACCCUUAUUACUAGUUGCCAGCAUUGAGUUGGGCACUCUAGUGAGACUGCCGGUGACAAACCGGAGGAAGGUGGGGAUGACGUCAAAUCAUCAUGCCCCUUAUGACUUGGGCUACACACGUGCUACAAUGGAUGGUACAACGAGCAGCGAACUCGCGAGGGUAAGCGAAUCUCUUAAAGCCAUUCUCAGUUCGGAUUGUAGGCUGCAACUCGCCUACAUGAAGCCGGAAUCGCUAGUAAUCGCGGAUCAGCACGCCGCGGUGAAUACGUUCCCGGGUCUUGUACACACC
rnacentral:rRNA from 1 species